rnacentral:rRNA from 1 species
GAUGAACGCUGACAGAAUGCUUAACACAUGCAAGUCUUUGGCGAAGCUGUGCUUGCACAGCCUAGCCAAGGCGGACGGGUGAGUAACGCGUAAGGAACUUGCCCUGCAGUCAGGGAUAACAGACGGAAACGACUGAUAAGACCUGGUAAAGUCAGGCGGACUCAUGUCCAGCCUGAUGAAAAGAGAUGCUGCAGGAGAGCCUUGCGUCCUAUUAGCUUGUUGGUGGGGUAACGGCCCACCAAGGCGAUGAUAGGUAGCCGGCCUGAGAGGGUGGACGGCCACAAGGGGACUGAGAUACGGCCCUUACUCCUACGGGAGGCGGCAGUGGGGAAUAUUGGACAAUGGGGGCAACCCUGAUCCAGCAAUUCUGUGUGGACGAUGAAGGUUUUCGGAUUGUAAAGUGCUUUCAGCAGGGAAGAAAAAAAUGACGGUACCUGCAGAAGAAGCGACGGCUAAAUACGUG